GACGAACGCUGGCGGCGUGCCUAAUACAUGCAAGUUGAGCGAUGAAGCUUGGUGCUUGCUCCAAUUUGAAGUGCAGCGAACGGGUGAGUAACGAGUGGGGAAUCUGCCUUUGUGCGGGGGACAAUAUUUGGACACGAAUGCUACUACCGCAUAACAACUUUAACCAUAUGUUUUAUGUUUGAAAGAUGCAAUUGCAUCACUCAUAGAUGAUCCCGCGGUGUAUUAGCUAGUUGGUGAGGUAAAGGCUCACCAAGGCGAUGAUACAUAGCCGACCUGAGAGGGUGGUCUGCCACAAUGGGACUGAGACACGGCCCAAACUCCUACGGGAGGCAGCAGUAGGGAAUCGUCGGCAAUGGACGAAAGUCUUACCGAGCAACGCCGCGGGAGUGAAGAAGGUUGUCGGGUCGUAAAACUCUGUUGGUAGGGAAGAACGUUGGUGAGAGUGGAAAGCUCAUCAAGUGACGGUAACUACCCAGAAAGGAACGGCUAACUACGUG
rnacentral:rRNA from 1 species